rnacentral:rRNA from 1 species
GGGGGAUAUUGCGCAAUGGGGGCAACCCUGACGCAGCAACGCCGCGUGAAGGAUGAAGGUUUUCGGAUUGUAAACUUCUUUUAUUAAGGACGAAAAAUGACGGUACUUAAUGAAUAAGCUCCGGCUAACUACGUGCCAGCAGCCGCGGUAAUACGUAGGGAGCAAGCGUUGUCCGGAUUUACUGGGUGUAAAGGGUGCGUAGGCGGCUUUGCAAGUCAGAUGUGAAAUCUAUGGGCUCAACCCAUAAACUGCAUUUGAAACUGUAGAGCUUGAGUGAAGUAGAGGCAGGCGGAAUUCCCCGUGUAGCGGUGAAAUGCGUAGAGAUGGGGAGGAACACCAGUGGCGAAGGCGGCCUGCUGGGCUUUAACUGACGCUGAGGCACGAAAGCGUGGGUAGCAAACAGGAUUAGAUACCCUGGUAGUCCACGCUGUAAACGAUGAUUACUAGGUGUGGGGGGUCUGACCCCUUCCGUGCCGGAGUUAACACAAUAAGUAAUCCACCUGGGGAGUACGGCCGCAAGGUUGAAACUCAAAGGAAUUGACGGGGGCCCGCACAAGCAGUGGAGUAUGUGGUUUAAUUCGAAGCAACGCGAAGAACCUUACCAGGUCUUGACAUCCAACUAACGAAGUAGAGAUACAUUAGGUGCCCUUCGGGGAAAGUUGAGACAGGUGGUGCAUGGUUGUCGUCAGCUCGUGUCGUGAGAUGUUGGGUUAAGUCCCGCAACGAGCGCAACCCUUGCUAUUAGUUGCUACGCAAGAGCACUCUAAUAGGACUGCCGUUGACAAAACGGAGGAAGGUGGGGACGACGUCAAAUCAUCAUGCCCCUUAUGACCUGGGCUACACACGUAAUACAAUGGCGGUCAACAGAGGGAAGCAAAGCCGCGAGGCAGAGCAAACCCCUAAAAGCCGUCUCAGUUCGGAUUGCAGGCUGCAACUCGCCUGCAUGAAGUUGGAAUUGCUAGUAAUCGUGGAUCAGCAUGCCACGGUGAAUACGUUCCCG